GCUCAGGACGAACGCUGGCGGCGUGCCUAAUGCAUGCAAGUCGAACGCAGCGGCCGUAGGCCGGCUGCGUGGCGAACGGCUGAGGAACACGUGGGUGACCACCCCCGGAGUGGGGGAUACCCCGUCGAAAGACGGGACAAUCCCGCAUACGCUCUACGGAGGAAAGCCGCAAGGCGCUCCGGGACGGGCCUGCGGCCCAUCAGGUAGUUGGUGUGGUAACGGCGCACCAAGCCAGUGACGGGUACCCGGUCUGAGAGGACGGCCGGGCAGACUGGGACUGCGACACGGCCCAGACUCCUACGGGAGGCAGCAGCAAGGAAUUUUCCCCAAUGGGCACACGCCUGAGGGAGCAACGCCGCGUGGAGGACGACGGCCUUCGGGUUGUAAACUCCUUUCGGGUGGGACGAGCAUGACGGUACCACCAGAAGCAGCCCCGGCUAACUCUGUGCCAGCAGCCGCGGUAAGACAGAGGGGGCAAGCGUUGUCCGGAGUUACUGGGCGUAAAGGGCGCGGAGGCGGUCUGCUGCGUCGGCGCUGAAAGCGCCCCGCUUAACGGGGCGAGGCGCGCCGAUACGAGCAGGCUAGAGGCGAGCAGAGGGUGGUGGAAUUCCGGGUGGAGCGGUGAAAUGCGUAGAGAUCCGGAGGAACGCCGGUGGAGCAGUCGGCCACCUGGGCUCGACCUGACGCUGCGGCGCGACCGCGUGGGGAGCAAACCGGAUUAGAUACCCGGGUAGUCCACGCCGUAAACGAUGCCGGCUCGGCGUUUGGCGCGCGUGAGCGUGCUGGGCGCCUUAGCUAACGCGGUAAGCCGGCCGCCUGGGGACUACGAGCGCAAGCUUA
rnacentral:rRNA from 1 species